CGGUGGUUGCGGUGGCGGGGUAGUGGCGCGACGGUGGCGAUGGCUUUUGGGCUGCUGUUUUUUGGAUUUUUUUGAGUUUUUCUCUGCUCUUUUUCUAUUUUUUUUUGGUUGCUAUCCGACCCCCUUCCUUCUCUUUUGAUUUUCUUUUUAAUCUCUUCAUUUUUUAUCCUCUUUCUUCUUGUUUUCAGAUGGCAUGGAGGUGAGGAGCAUGGCUGAUUGGCGGUGUCAGGCGUAGGGUGUGGUGCACGCCCAAAUGCUGGUUGGGGGGCAGUCUUGUCAUUCCCAGAAGGACUGAAUUGUAGAGUGUGCAAAGUUUUUAGGGCAAAAAUGUGAUUUUAGGAAAAUAUAGGGACAAAAUGUAAUUUCUAGAAAGUUUAGGGGCCUGACUGUAAUUUAUAAAAUAUUAGGGGUCAAGAUGUAAAUUUAGACAAAGUUAGGGGUCAAAAAAUAAUUUUUGAAAAGUUUGAGGGCCAAAAUGUAAUUUUUAUUUUUUGUAUUUUUAUUUUUUUCAAAAUUUUAUUAUGACUAUUUUAUUAAUAUUUAAAACAAAAAUUAAAAACGGACUAAAGUAAUUCCAAAAUUAAAUCCUAAUGGGCUCGAUCAUUGGGCCCAUACGAGACCGACCCGGCCUAAAAUUCAAACCGGGCAAAAUUCAGUGAUUACAGCUGCCCCUCUUUGCUCAUCGCUGUAAAACAGGGAUAGAGCAAAGACUUAAAAGCACUGAAUUUUGCUCGAUUGUCUAAUUUUUUAUAUUUUUUGAAAGCCUGAAAUUGAAAAAAAAAAGCUUGGUGUGCGAUCCGAAGUUCAACUCACUUUUCAGAUUAUAAGUUGACCUUUGAAAAAUAAAAAAUAAAAAUACCUCAGCUUGACUCGAGGCUCAACUCACCUCUAGGAUUAUGAGUUAAUAAUUUUUUUUUUUGAAAACAUAAAUUGAAAAUACCACAGCGUGACCUGAGGCUUAACUCACCUCUCGCAUUAUGAGUUGAUUUUUGAAAAACGAAAAAUUGAAAAAUACCUCGGCAUGUGACCCGAGGCUCAACUCACCUCUCGUAAUAUGAGUUGAUUUUUUUUGAAAAACAGAAAUUUAAAAUACCUUAGCGUGCGACCUGAGGCCCAACUCACCUCUCGCAAUAUGAGUUGAUUUUUGAAAAACAGAAAUUGAAAAUACCUCAGGAUGACCCGAGGCUCAACUCACCUCUCGUAUUGUGAGUUGAUUUUUGAAAAAAAGAAAAUUUAAAAGAAAUACCUCGGCGUGACCCGAGACUCAACUCACCUCUCGCAAUAUGAGUUGAUUUUUUUGAAAAACAGUAACUUAAAAAUACCUCAGCGUGACCCGAGGCUCAACUCACCUCUCGUAUUAUGAGUUGAUUUUUGAAAAACAAAAAUUAAAAAAUAUAAUUCUUGAAAGAAACAGGGUUUCAAAACAUCAGGUGAAACUAAAGCCUUCUUCUUCGUUGAUUCUGUGCAACUUUCUCUCAGUAUUCCCUGCUCUACUAAGAUACCUGUAUAUGUCAUGUAUGAUGUUAUUAUGAUAUGCACGUGUUUGACCUAAAUGCUUUUAUGCCUACAUAAUCAUGCCAUGAGCCCUGGGCUGUUUGUCUCAUGCCUCCUUUUCGUGAGGGACUGCAUUCAUUGCCUCAAUCAUUGACUUCUCUCUUCGGUUUUGUACUCAUCUUCAAGUUUGUCGGGUGACCCACAUGUCCAUAUUUCCCCUUCUUGCCCCUUUUGUUGAACUUUGUUCCUGCUUUGGGGUCCUUGUACUUAUCAAAUUCUCAUCCAGGUAAUGCUCAACAUUCAUUUUGUUUAGAGUAUGUCAUCUUACUAUUUAUCAUUUAAAUGAAUCAAACACAAGAUGCAUAAAUAAAAUGGCAAAGUAGGCAUGAAAGAAAUACCUCACAUCCAUUUCAUUUUCAAAACCAUCAAACAAAGAAAAUUGACAAGGAAAAAGUUCAAAGAAAGCAUCAUAUAGAAAGGAAAGUGAAUUCAAUGGCCACAAAUGCUCUAGAUAUCCAACGUAUGAACUUCUCCACGUUUCUUCAUCCUGGAUCCUUUCGAGCACGGCUUCUUGUGUAGAAGAUUUCGAGCUUCUGAGAAUGCUUCAAAUAUUGCGACUUUGUCAUUCAACUCUCCGUUCAAGUCACUUUGCUCCUUUAAGCUCGAGCCCACUUCAUUAGGACGCCCUUUCAGGUUUCCAUCCUAAUUCUUUUUGUUUAUCAAAACGCCCUUUUCAGGUUUUCAUCUUGAUUUUCUUUUUCUUUUCUUUUUUCUUUUUUUGUUUUUGUUUUUGUUUUUUUUUGUUCUUUUUGUUCUUUUUGUUCUUUUAUUUUUUUAUUUUUUUUUUGUUUUUUUAGGCAUAAUAUUUCUUUACAGCAUCUGAGUUCACUGGAUUAGGUAACUCUUUCCCGUCCAUCUCAGUGAGAAUCAGAGCCCCUCCUGAGAAUGCCCUCUUUACAACGUAUGGUCCUUCCCAAUUUGGUGACCAUUUUCCUCGAAAGUCCUUCUGUAUUGGGAGAAUCUUUCUCAGUACGAGCUCUCCUUCGCGAAAUUCUCUUGGCCGCACCUUUUUAUCAUGGGCCGUAAUCAUUCUCUUCUGGUACAUCUGUCCAUGACAAAUUACCUUCAAGCGUUUCCCUUCAAUAAGGUUUAGCUGAUCAUAUCGAGCUCGAACCCACUCUGAUUCCUCUAACCUUGUCUCCAUCAAGAUGCGCAGGGAUGGGAUCUCUACUUCGAUAGGCAGAACGGCUUCCAUUCCAUAGACUAGAGAAAAAGGAGUUGCCCCCGUAGACGUCCGUACCGAGGUGCGAUAUGCGUACAAAGCGAAUGGUAGCUUAUCGUGCCAGUCUUUAUAUGUCUCAGUCAUCUUCCCAAUAAUCCUCUUAAUGUUCUUAUUAGCGGCUUCUACUGCUCCGUUCAUCUUUGGGCAAUAGGGCGAAGAAUUAUGAUGUUUUAUCUGGAAUUGCUCACAUACUUCUUUCAUCAUCUUAUUGUUCAAAUUUAAAGCAUUAUCUGAAAUGAUUCUUUCAGGCAGACCAUAUCGGCAUAUAAUCUCCUUUUUUAAGAACCUACAGACUGUAGCCUUUGUCACAUUAGCAAACGAAGUGGCUUCUACCCAUUUUGUGAAGUAGUCUAUAACCACAAAGAUGAAUCGAUGCCCAUUGAAAGCUUUCGGGGAAAUUGGCCCUAUAACAUCCAUGCCCCACAUAGAAAAAGGCCACGGAGAAGUCAUGACAUGAAGGGGUGACGGAGCUGCAUGAAUUUUGUCGCCAUAAAUUUGACAUUUGUGGCACUUUCGUGCGUAACCAAUGCAAUCCCUUUCCAUCGUCAGCCAAUAAUAACCAAGUCUCAUAAUCUGCCUGGCCAUGGUGAAACCACUGGCAUGUGUUCCACAAAUUCCUUCAUGAACCUCUUCAAGUAUCUUUCUAGCUUCAACAGCGUCCACGCACCUCAGGAGCACUUGAUCUUUUCCCCUUUUGUAUAGAAUAUCCCCGUCAAGAACAAAUCCAAUCGCCAUUCUCCUGAUUGUUCUUUUGUCAUUCUCGUUUGCUUGCUCGGGGUACCUUUGAUUCUUGAUAUACUCCAAGAUAUCAUGGAACCAUGGUCGUCCAUCUGACUCCUCCUCAAUACUAAAGCAGUGUGCGGGGGUCUCAUAUAUACUCAUUUGGAUGGGCAUUAUCUCAUUUUCUCUGUUUGCCUUGAACAUCGAAGCCAAGGUGGCUAGGGCAUCAGCCAGUUGGUUCUCCUCUCGUGGAAAGUAGUUAAAAGUCACUUUAUAGAACUCCUUGAUCAGCUCUGCAACGAGAUCAUGAUAUUUGACUAAUUUUGGAUCUCUCACUUCCCAAUCUCCACGAAUUUGAUAAAUGACUAAUGCUGAGUCCCCGUGUACCUCUAAAAUUUUGAUUUUUCACUUGAUAGCUGCACGAAGUCCCAUGAUGCAAGCCUCAUAUUCCGCUAUAUUAUUUGUACAGAAGAAAUUCAAUCUGGCAGUAAGCGGGUAAUGGUCCCCUUCAGGUGACACUAAGACUACUCCUAUCCCAUGCCCCAAUACAUUUGAUGCACCAUCAAAGCUCAUCUUCCAUGACUUUCCUUUUGAUGACUCGCCCUCUUUUUCUGAAAUACACAUCAAAUCUUCAUCUGGGAACUCAAAUCUCAAAGGCUCGUAUUCCUCCAUUGUUCGACUUGCCAAGAAGUCAGCUAUUGCGCUUCCUUUUAUCGACUUUUGGCUCACAUAUACAAUGUCAUACUCAGUCAAUAGGAUUUGCCAUCGGGCCUUUCUCCCUGAGAGUGCAGGUGACUUCAUCAUGUACUUUAUUGGGUCCAGUUUUGAAAUUAACCAUGUCGUGUGAUACAGCAUGUAUUUUCUGAGCCUUCGAACUGUCCAAAUCAAUGCACAACAAAACUUCUCAAUUGACAGGUACUUUGCCUCAUAUUCUGUGAACUUCUUGCUGAGGUAGUAAAUUGCCUUCUCUCUUUUCCCUGACUCAUCAUGUUGUCCCAGUACGCAACCCAUUGAGUUCUCAAACACGGUCAGGUACAAUAUUAAGGGUUUUCCAGGGGUCGGCGGUACUAGCACAGGAGAAUUAGAUAGAUACUGUUUUAUCUUGUCGAAGGCCACUUGGCACUCCUCGUUCCAUUCUCCCGGAUUACGUUUUCAAAGGAGUCGAAAAAUUGGGUCACACUGAUUGGUAAGUUGAGCAAUGAAUCGAGCAAUGUAAUUCAACCUUCCUAAAAAACCUCUGACUUCCUUUUGUGUACGCGGGGGAGGCAAUUCUUGUAUAGCUUUUAUCUUAUCUGGAUCAACCUCGAUACCUCUUUCACUAACAAUGAAACCUAGCAGUUUUCCUGAGGUAGCCCCAAAUGUACAUUUGGCCGGGUUAAGCUUCAACUGAAACUUUCUUAAUCUUUCAAACAACUUCCUAAGACUCCCAACAUGCUCUCUUUCUUCCCGAGAUUUGGCAAUCAUAUCAUCGACAUAAACUUCUAUUUCUUUGUGCAUCAUAUCAUGGAAUAACGUCACCAUGGCUCUCUGAUAUGUUGCCCCAGCAUUCUUUAAUCCGAACGGCAUUACCUUGUAGCAGAAGGUUCCCCACAUUGUUAUGAAUGUAGUUUUCUCCAUAUCUUCGGGAGCCAUCUUUAUCUGAUUAUAUCCUGAGAAACCAUCCAUGAAAGAAAACAGAGAAUGCUUUGCCGUAUUAUCCACCAAAGUGUCGAUGUGCGGUAAAGGAAAGUUAUCUUUAGGGCUUGCUUAAUUCAGAUCAUGAUAAUCCACGCACAUUCGCACCUUGCCAUCUUUCUUCGGCACUGGGACUAUAUUAGCUACCCAUUCUGGAUACUUUGAGACUUGUAGGAAGCCAGCGUCAAAUUGUUUCUUGACUUCUUCUUUUAUCUUUAACAGCAUUUCGGGUCUCAUCCUUCUUAAUUUCUGCUGAACGGGCUUGCAUUCUGGUUUCAGUGAGAGCUUGUGGACCACAAUAUCCGUGUUUAAUCCUGGCAUAUCUUGAUAAGACCAGGCAAACACAUCCUUGUAUUCAUGGAGCAAGGCGAUCAAAUCUUGCCUUGUGUUUUUUGAAAUCGAAGUCCCAAUCUUCACUUCUUGUUUCUCUUCUUCAUUCCCCAAGUUCACUACCUCAACAGAUUAUUGAUGGGGUAGGAUUUGUUUCUCUUCUUGUUCCACCAUUCUCAGUAAGUCAGGAGAUGAGACACAAUCUUCAACAUUUUCGUCAGCUUCGAAUUCUCCUAAACAAAUAACCUUCUCAAAAUUGAUUUCAGGAUUCAUAACGGGAUUAUUCAUGCCAUUGAUAUCUGAACACCUGAAAGGUGAAUGGAAAAAGGAUAUAGAAGAGUAUUGAGGUAUUGUAAUCAACACACAAUGAUAUGAGAUGAUAUGAGACAUAUGCCAGAAAAGGAUAUGAACAGAAGGAGUAGUCGCAAAGUUAAUGAAAAGAAUAUGACAAUAUAAAACAAAAUGCAUCUUCAUUAAUGUUCAUUGAAAUGAUAAAGAGCAAACAUAAGCUCUUACAAAAGGAACCCUACUGUUUAAGGACACACAAAAUGAAGGGUUAACAUUGAGCAUUACUCUGAAGGGGACUUAAAAACUACAAGGAGGUCCUCAGCAGUCCAGUUGUUCAAAACAUAUCCUGGAGGACAAUGGCGUAUCAUUGAAGCAUUCUUAAUUUCAUCAUUCUCAUUGUCAAUAGCAUUUAGGCUGAGAUUCUGAAGACCCUUUUCAAUCAAUAAUGUGGCUUGCAAAUUGUUCUGCCCUGGGUACAUCACUCCUGCUGAUGUAAAUGUUCUCGACAAAGGAGGAUACGCCAACGGCCCCCAUUCUAAUUCCUGGCCCGAAGCUCUUGCGAUUCUUCUUUCUCGAUUUUUCUGAAAUUGUUUUUAUCUUUGAUGUACAUCUGGCUUGAACCCCAAACUGUAUCGACCCUUAUGGUGCGUUGGUUUCAAAGCUCUAACCAUCCUUUGUUGAUAUUUUCCCAAACCUUUCCUCGCUCGAGCUCCUUUUCCCACAGUCAGCUUAAGUCCCAUCUUGGUAUUCCUCGACAGUUUGGGAAUGGGGAUCUUAUUCCCUUCAGUAACAAAUGCAGCAUUGAUAAAUUUCAAGAAGCGAAAAGAACAUUCUACAGCAUCUUCGCUUAUUUCGAUGUAGGGUGCAUCAGUAGAGAUAGAUGCGACGAUGUCUUCCUCGCCACCAACAGUAAUCAAACGACUAUCCAUGAUGAACUUUACUUUCUGAUGGAGAGAUGAAGGAACUGCCCCAGCAGAAUGGAUCCAAGGUCUUCCUAACAGGCAAUUGUAUGAAGGUGUGAUGUCCAUGACCUGAAACUCGAUAUCGUAUGCACAUGGCCCCACUUUUAAAGGAAUUUCGAUAUUUCCCAUGACCUCUCGCCGUGUCCCAUCAAAUGCCCUUACUAUAGAAUGACAAGGCCUCAGAUAGGACAUAUCAACCGGCAUCCUAGAAAGCGUGGCCAAAGGCAUAACAUUGAGUGCAGAUCCAUUGUCGAUGAGCACAUUUGGUAAUAUGUAACCUUUGCAAUUGGUUGUGAUGUGCAAUGCUUUUAUGGAGCCCCUUCCAUUUGGCGGUAUUUCGUCGUCACUAAAGGAGAUGAAAUUAUCUGCAUUUAGAUUAUUUGCCCACCUAUCAAGCUUUUCCACAGAUACAUUGUUCGCCACAUAAGCUUGAUUUAACACUUUUAACAAGGCAUUCCGAUGUGGCUCUGAAUUCAACAAUAGAGACAGUACCGAGAUACGGGCUGGCUGCUUGUUUAAUUGUUCUACAAUGCUAUAUUCACUGUGCUUAAUGAACUUUAAGAACUCACAUGCUUCCUCCUCAUUCACAGCCUUUUUAACUUCUUCCUCGGGUGGUAUUUCAACAUCAUCCUCAGCCUCAUACAUUGGUGCUUUUCUUUUUUGGCUCGGACCAGCAACCUUCUUCUUUGGCUCAACCGUCUCGGGAGAAUAACAUCUUUCGCUACGAGUAAAAUGUCCUACUCCGCUAACACCUUCACUCACAACCUUGGACUUUUCACCCUCAGGUACAAUGAUAUUGACAUCAUAAUUCUAAGGCACCGCCUUGUUGUCCUUAUAAGGGAAAGGAGCAGGUACUUCAAUUAUCAAACUUGGUUUAACUUCUCGACUAACUUCUUCCUUCUUUGUCCCGUAAUAAAUCACCAAAGGUCUAUCGACGCUAUAAAGGGAAGCCAUUGAUUGAUUAUUAGAGGCACAUAUUUCUCCUUCUUCGGCCCCCUCCACCCUAUCAAAGACCUUGACCUCUUUGUUAUCCAUCAUGUCUUGAAGUAAUUUCCUAAAUUCCUUACAAGAUUGGAUGUCAUGCCCUUGGACGCCAUGAAAAUCACAGAAACUCUGGUCUUUUGUACUUUCUUCUUUAAGAAUCUUACUAGACGGACAGAGCAAGCCAUUUUCAAUCAUCAUCUCCCAUACCUUCCGUAAAGGUGUCUUUACUUCGGUAACACAACCUUUGGCUUGACAAUUGUCUUCAUUUGUCACCGCAUUUACAUUCCCGUCAGUAUGGUUAGGAAGAGGAUUUCCUGUCACAUUGCUAACAUCGUCGAACCGUAGAACACCGGCAUCAAUAAGACCUUAAACCCUCCUUUUAAAAGCAAGACAGUUUUCUGUAGAAUGUCCCUGAUUCCCAGCGUGAUACAUGCAAUUAGCGUUAGGAUCAUACCACUUCGGGUAUGGAGGCUUCAGGGGUGCCAUGUAAUGUGGGGAUAUUAAUUGUUUUUCCAACAGCUUUGGGUAUAAUUCUCCAUAUGAUACAGGAAUUAGAGUAAACUGAGGUCUUUCAAGAUUGGGUCUUGCCGGUCUUUGUUCAUUUUUGGGUUGGCUUUGUACAGGUAUGGUGUUUGGCGGGAACACGGUGAAUGGUCUUUGGUUAUUCACAGCAUAAACGGGGUAAGAUAGGGGUGCUUGAUAGUAAGGACUUUGAGGAGGAAAGUAGAAGUUUGAAGGUGGGCGGUAAUGAGGUCGUGGUUGGGUGAGGUACGGAUUAGGGGUACAUUGGCUUUCAGUCCCAACCAUAUGGGCCUCUGCCUCCUUUUUCUUUGCGGGUACUGUCCUCUUCGAACUCUCAGGACCUUCCAUUCUCCCACUCUUGACGGCGUUUUCGAUAAGUUCCCCGGAUAUUACAAUAUCUGCAAAGUCCUUUGUGGCACUUCCCACCAACUUAUCGUAAAAUGGCGCUUUUAGAGUGUUGAUGAAGAGGACCGUUAUCUCUGUCUUAGUUAACGGAGGCUCCACUUGAGCCGAGAUAUCCCUCCAUCUUUACGCAUAUUACCGAAAAGUCUCUGUCGGCUUCUUUUCCAUCAUUUGUAAGGUUAGUCGAUCAGGCACCAUAUCUGUUACAUGCCUAUAUUGCUCACAGAAUGCUGAAGCCAAAUCCUUCCAUGAUCGGAUUCUCUCUCUACUGAGUUGAUUAUACCAUCGAAGGGUUGAGCCAAUCAAACUAUCUUGAAAGUAAUGCACCAACAAUUUAUCAUCGUUUACAUAACCAGUCAUCUUUCGGCAAAACAUGAUCAGAUGCGCCUUUGGACAUCUUGUUCCGUCAAAUUUCUCAAAAUCAGGUGCCUUAAAUUUUGGUGGUAGGACCAAAUCAGGUACCAAACUGAGCUCUUUGGCACUCAAAGCAGAGAAAACUUCAGCGCCUUCUACUGCCUUGAUCCUCUAUUCCAGGACUCUAUACUUAUCCUGAGCGUUAUUGUCAUCAAUUCUCAGCCUUGCUACUUCUACAGGAUCAUCUAGGUCUGGAACAAUUGGAUCUGAAGGAUUAGCCCCAGGGUUCGAUACAAACAUUCCUUGUCCUAAAUGAGCAGAUGGAGCAGGAUGUUGUUCCAGGCCUGUAGGUUCCCUUUGGGGGUAUCCUCUUUGCAUUGCGUGGACAUGAGGUGGAGUAAAUCCCGGGGGAUAAAGUGGGUCUUGAUUAGCUCUUGACUGAGGCGGUUCUACGACAUUAGGGCUCUGUAUAGGUCCCUUUCCUUUGACCAAAGCCGUCAUCAUUUCUAUCAUUUUAGCCAUUUGAUCCCUUUGCUCGAGCAAUUCUUCUCGAGAUCUCACCAUCAAAUCUCUUGCCUCUUGCUGCGACUUGGCCAGUUGCUCCUGCAACUCUCUUUGGGUUCUUUCCAUCCUUUCCAUCCUUUCAUUGAGUUCAGCAUCCAUAGCUCUAGCUCUUAAGCGCGUCCUAUAAGAGUGACGUGAUUCCAGACUCGUAGUGUAGUAACUGUGGAUUAGAUGGUUUUACCCUUAGCGAAUGAUUAAGGUGAUAUGAGAAUACAAUGAAUAAAUGAAUGAGUAACUAAUGAAUGUUAAUCAUGCGUAAAUAUGCAAAAAAGGGUGUUGAUUCCAAAAUGGCCCCAUACUUGGGCGUUUCAUUUAUCAAAAGAGUCCGUUACAAAAAGUUUUGCCAUCCUAGUUCAACAAUUACACGAAUUUCCUAGCCACAUCGCCUUGCUUCUUCAUACGUUCCAAGAACUCUGAUAUGCUUGAUCUUUGGCUAGGAGGGUAUUGGCAACUGAGAACUUCCGCUUCAUCUGAUAAUUGUACUAUUUGUGCAGCCGCCUUACGAAUUUCAUUGAUCAACCUACCGAGAUGCAUAUCCUUUUCUUGGAGGGCUCUUUCAUAAGCACGAAUGUCUCUGUCAUGCUGAUCAUUCUUCUCUUCUAAAGCUCUCAAGAGGUCAUCCAGAUGUUGCUGAUGAGCUUGCAGUGUACUCUCUAGACUUCAGAUUUUUCCUUUUAGCCCUUGAUGCUCAGACUGACUAGCCGUUAGUUCUGCAGUCACAGUUUCGUAUUCAACGUUCUUCUUCCUCAACUCUAUCAUAGCACAUGCAGCUCUUUCCUCUUCUUUCUUUGCUUUGGCUUUCCAGAAUUCCAUCCCACCUUUGAUAUUACUUAGUUCCUCUUUCCAUUCUGCUGAUGCUUUGCCCAAUCCACUAUUUCUUAUAGUGCCCCUUAAUUUCUUGUUUUCCAAAUGAAGGUCCCUUAAAUUCUUUCUCGUAACUUGAACUUCUUUUUGGACUUUUUCGGCUCUGGAUUUUUCAAUUUCGACAUCAAUCUUCAGCUGGUAGUUCUCCUCCUGAAGAGAUUAAUAUCUCGCAACAUUUUGGCCUUUUCACGUUCAAAUUCAUGUCUUGCAAUUUCUAGCUCGGAUGGGGUUUUCUCUGAGAACGGAUUCUGGCAAGCUUCAUUAAUUGGUGGGGUUACUUGACUCUUCACUCGUUGUUGCCUCCAUAGGUCAUAGUCUACAGUGAUAGUAUCAGCAUAUAGAGCCAAUUCCAUUAGGUAGAUUCGCCUCCAAGAAUUCGCAGUAUCUCAAACCUUUUUCAUGUAACCCUCACCCAUAAAGGCAAACUCCGAUUGUGCCAAUCCAUCGGUAACUGGUACAAACUGUCGCGAAGCGAACUGUCUUUAAACCAACAAUGGAGCAUAUCCAACUCCUCCCCAUAAUCCUAAUAAAGGUAUCCAGUCUUGGUUUCCACACUUGUAUAACAAGACAGAGGGACGAAUCCAAGGUGCUCUCCAAGUUAUAUCUUCGACACGGAGGUUCUGAAAGACCGAGACCCAGUGUUGUUCAGUGACAUCUUUCGGCCAAUCUUUUCCAAGGUGUGCUUCCAACGGGGCGAAUGUCUUUGAAAACAUGUGGAAAGGCGUACGCUCCACCCUCCAAAAAUGGCUAAAGAUCCAAACAUUCAGUAACUGAGCGCAUUCGAUAAAACGUCCUUCCCCUUUUCUCCUACAAGCAUUUAGAGAUCUAAAAGUCUCAGCCAAGAUGGCUGGGACCGGGUUAACUCUUUGCCUCAACUUUUCGAAGAAAUCCACAACCGCAACUUCAAUAUGCCCAAGAACCUUCGGGAAGACGACCAGUCCGUAAACAGCCAAGGCAAACAAAUCUACUCUUUUUAACACAUCUGGAUGAUUCUGAACUAACUCCCGCAGAGAAAACCACGGGACACAACUGACUUCAUUCUUCUUCUUUAUCUGUUUUUCAGCCCAUGUAUCAGUCAUUCCCGUCAACUUCAUUAGCUUUUUCUUGAAGGUCAUUGGUUUAGGCUCCUUCACAUAUAUCUUGUUGAGUUGCACAUUAUCGAUGCGAAGCAAAGCGGCAUACUCUUCUAUGGUCGGAGUCAUAUCUUCCUGAUUGAAAGUGAAACACUGAUAGGCUGGGUCCCAGAAUCGAACCAUGGCUUGGAUCAACUGCUCGUUCACAUCGAUUGCUAUCAAGUGAGCUAUAUCCCCAUACUUUUCAGUGGAGAUGCUUCUAGUAUCUGAGUCCCACUGCUUCCAAAUCCUAGUCAAGUCUUCGAGAUCAUUUUGACGAGCAUUCAAAGUCACACGCUCGGGAAGAUCAGAGGUGUAUCCUUCCUUCAAACUGUCCCCUUUCACUUUUUGAGUUCUCAAAGACCAAUCUCGGACUACAGCAUUUUUCUCGGUUACUCGUGUAAUUGACUCCUCCAUCAGAAACCCGUUUUUGGCAACCAAUAUUUAACCAACACCUUCCUAAUGAGAUGUCUACGAUGCAUGAUGGAAAAUAAGAUGAAAAACAAAUAACCUUGGUUAGAGAUCACAACAGAUAUAAACAAAAGAAAAAUGAAAAAUAAAGACUAUGGAAAAUUUAACAAAUUAAGCUAUUCAAUCAUGCAAUUUGGUGGAACAGACCCACAUUUUUUUUUGCCCCAACAUGCUUUACAAGAAACCUACCCCACAUACCAUCAGACCAUCUAUCCGACCCAAUUUAUUGAAUAGACUCAAUUUAUCUGCAAAUAAGUGUAAAUGUAAAAGAAAUAAAAGGUAAGAGGCGUUUCUCCCGUGCACUUAUUUUGGUAACUAUCAAACGGACAGAGGUUCUGUAUGGCUCUACUCGGGUGGCCUAUACGGUUCACUAUAUGUAGUUUCGGUUUUAGAAAGGUACUCGAAUUGUCCAUACUAUCACCUACUAAGGUUAGUACAGAGCUUCGGUUAUCGCCCGUCAGGGCUCGCGAGCUCAAUUCGAGGGAUUACAUUUACUUAUGCCUAUGCGGAGGGACAAGUUAACUCACGAAAGCAUAAGUCAUAUGUAACCCGAAAGUAAUUACUAGCCUGUGCGGAGGGACGAGUUAACUCACGAAGGCGUAGCGUUUACUUCCACUUAAACGGACAGAGCCCGGGUAGAGAGCUCAUGUUAUGCAAAAAAUGCAAGUGCACUGUGUGUGGAGAGAAACUCACAAACCUUUUUAUUUUUACUUUUACUAAAAAAAACAAACUAAAACCAUAAAACUUAAAGCUGAAAAAAACACGAAAAUAAAAAAGGUUAGAAAAAUAUUAAUUUCAAAACUGAAUACGGAUGCAUGAUUUUUUUCAAAACAAAAUUCAAGGAUCACGAUUAAAAAUUAAUUUGAACAAGAAAAUUUGAAAAUUUUGACAACACACGUUUAACAUCAGACUCGACUCUCAAAAAAAACUCCCCAGCGGAAUCGCCAGCUGGAGCGACCUAAAAAUUUCUGGGCACGGGCGCUAGUCGAAGUAAUUAUUUAAGGUUUGAAAACAGUGUCUCGAUUUUAUUCGAAAAAGGGAGUCGCCACCGAUCUUUUUUUUUAGGUGUGAUCGGACACCUACAAAAUUCUCUUUUUAGAAGAAAAAUUUAUUUUUAAGCUUUUCUAAAAAGAGGUAAUUUUAGGUCCACGUAAAAAUCAAGAGAAAAUUAGGGUUCUGGAGUCGGUUACGCGCGAGGAAGGUAUUAGCACCCUCGCGACGCCCAAAAUUGGUAUCUCGUUAAAUGCAUGUUGUCUUAACUUUCAAAAAUACGAGUUCCAUUUAAUAUUUAGUCAUGAUCCGAUUGAAACACGAGAAUUUUGAAACACAACAACCCCUUUUUUUUUUUUGAAAACACGAAAUUUUUUUAAAACGCAAGAAUUUUAGAAACACAAAAAUUUUCUUUAAAAAAACACGAAAAUUUUGAAACAUGAGAAUUUUUUCAAAACACAAAUUUUCUUUUUGAAACACGAAAAUUUUGAAAACACAAAAAAUUUGAUAAAUUACGAAACAUGAGAUUUUUUUGAAACACGGAAAUUUAUGAAACACGGUCAAUUUUUGAAAACACAAAAAUUUUUGAAAGACGGGUUUUUUUUUUGAAAACACGAAAAUUUAUAAAACACGGAAAUUUUUUCUGAAAACAAGAAAAUUUUCGAAAAACGAGAAUUUUUGAAAACACAAGAAAUUUUUGAAAACAUGAAAUUUUUUGUUAAACUAGAAUUUUGAAAACACGAAGAUUUUUGAAACAUGAGGAUUUUUGAAAACACGAAGCUUUUUGAAACAUGAGAAUUUUUUGAGAACAUGAAAACAUGAAAAUUUGUCAAACACGGGAAUUUUUUGAAAACACGAUAACAUCAAAGAGUAUUCAAGAGAGUUUUUUGAAACACGGAAUUUUUUUUUGGAAAAAAGAAACACGAAUAUAUUUUUUUGAAACACAGGAAAUUUUUUGAAAAAAAGAAACACGAAUAUAUUUUUUUGAAACACGGGAAAUUUUAUUAUUAUUAUUUUGAAACACGAGAAAUUUUGAAGACAUGAAAAUUUUUGAAACACAAUUUUUUUAAUAAUACCAUAUUUAAUACGAAUCGAUGAUAUUCACCCCGAUAUGGCGAUGAAAUCGUCGUAUUAGUGUCAAAACAAAUCAAAUUAAUAUUUAAUCGGGAUUCUAAUAAAACACGAGGAUUUUUAUUAAAACACGAGGAAUUUUGAAUAUUUUCUAUUUUUAGAAGGGCGUCCCGUAUUUAACACGAGCCAUCAAUAUUCACCCAACAUAGAGAUGAAUUCAACGGCUUGAUGCUAAAUCGGUUCGUUGCCUUAUGCAUUAAAAUAUUUUUCUAUAAAAAAAUGCAAAUAAAAUUACAUAUAAUAAUAUUUCUAAACUAUUAAAAAACUAAUUUAAUUGUAAUGGGGAAAUAUUUAAAUAAAUGGACUUAAUUAGAGUGGGUUUAAAAAAUUACCAAAAGCCCAAAGUUAUGGGCUUGAAUUUUGGGCCUCCCUUUUUCUUUUUUUUUCUCUUUCUUUCCUGGGCUUUGGGCUGCCGGACUGGGCCGAGUCUGCUGGCCCGCUGGUUGCUGGAACAGGCUUGCUACCGCUGCUGGAUCGGGUACAGGCCUUCGUGCGGGUCGGGUCUACCUCCUGGACUGGGUCGUGGCCUGCUGUCACUGUUGGGCUGCUCUGCUGCGCGUGGGCCUGGGCUGCUGCUUAGCUGCUGGAGUGGCCUGCUGUUGGCCUGCCCAAGAUGGCCUAUUGCUUGCUGGGCCGGUCUGCCACUACUGCUGGUGUGGGUGGCCUGCUGCUGGCUUGUUGCUGGCUGCUGGCUGGGUCAGAUCCGGGUCGUCGGGUCGGGUUGGCCCGGCUGUUAUUUUUUUCUUCUAUUUUCUUCUUUCUUCUUUCUUCUUUUCUUUUUUCCUCCUUUUUUUUCUUUCCUUUUUCUUUUUCUUUCUUUUCUUCUUCCUUUCAAACCCUAGCCGCCGUCUUUUGCUUGGUGGCGCGACGGUGCCGGCGCUUCUCCCUUCUCCCUUCUCCUACUCUCUCUUCUUUCUCUCCUUUUCUUUUUCUUCUCUUCUUCCUCUCUUCCUUACUUCUUUACUGUUUGGGUUGCUGUUUUUUUUUGUUUUCUCUUUGCUUGUUUGUAUAGGUGCGACGGUGGUGGUGGUGUCACAACGGCGGUACGACGACGGUGGUUGCGGGAGGAUGGUGGUGGAGGCUUUCAGCUUGCUGCUAUUUUUUUAUUUUUGAAUUUUCUCUGCUCUUUUUCUUUUGGUUGCCGAAAAACCUUUUCUUUUUGUUUCGGUUUCCCUUGGCUUUCUAGGUGGCGGUGCGGUGGUUGCGGUGGCGGGGUAGUGGCACGACGGUGGCGAUGGCUUUUGGGCUGCUGUUGUUUGGAUUUUUUUGAGUUUUUCUCUACUCUUUUUUUAUUUUUUUUUGGUUGCUAUCCGACCCCCUUCCCUCUCUUUUGAUUUUCUUUUUAAUCUCUUCAUUUUUUUGUCCUCUUUCUUCUUGUUUUCAGAUGGCAUGGAGGUGGGGAGCAUGGCUGAUUGGCGGUGUCAGGCGUAGGGUGCGGUGCACGCCCGGAUGCUGGUUGGGGAGCAGUCUUGUCAUGCCCAGAAGGACUGAAUUGUAGAGUGUGCAAAGUUUUUGGGGCAAAAAUGUGAUUUUAGGAAAAUAUAGGGCCAAAAUGUAAUUUCUAGAAAGUUUAGGGGCCAACUAUAAUUUACAAAAUAUUAGGGGUCAAGAUGUAAAUUUAGAAAAAGUUGGGGGUCAAAAAAUAAUUUUUGAAAAGUUUGGAGGCCAAAAUGUAAUUUUUAUUUUUUGUAUUUUUUUUAUUUUUAUUUUUUUUUCAAAAUUUUAUUAUGACUAUUUUAUUAAUAUUUAAAACAAAAAUUAAAAACGGAC
rnacentral:lncRNA from 1 species